rnacentral:rRNA from 1 species
GACGAACGCUGGCGGCGUGCUUAACACAUGCAAGUCGAACGGAAAGGCCCUGCUUUUGUGCGGUGCUCGAGUGGCGAACGGGUGAGUAACACGUGUGUAACCGGCCCUUGACUUUGGGAUAAGUUCAGGAAACUGGGGCUAAUACCGGAUAGGAGCCCCUGCUGCAGUGUAGGGGGUGGAAAGUUUCGGCGGUUGGGGAUGGACGCGCGGCUUAUGAGCUUGUUGGUUGGGGAGUGGCUUACCAAGGCUGUGACGGGUCGGCCGCCUGGGAGGGGGACCGGCGACAUGGGGCCUGAGGUACGGACCAGACGCGUACGGGAGACAGUGGGGGGGAAUCUGGCCCAGUGGGACGACGCGUGAUAAAGCAGCCUUCGGUGCGGAAAGCCGGUUUGUGGGUAGUAAACCGCUUCAGCUUGUGACCACGCUGGAGUGACGGUACUGGAAAAAGAAGCACCGGCUAACUACGUG